rnacentral:rRNA from 1 species
AUUGAACGCUGGCGGCAGGCCUAACACAUGCAAGUCGAGCGAGCGGCGUACGGGGGAGUAAUGUAUUGGGACUGCCCGUUAGAGGGGGAUUACUACUGACAACGGUAUCUUAUACCGCCUACUCUCGGGUAACCCCUAUGGGAGUAGCUAGUAGGUGAGGUAAUGGCUCACCUAGGCGCCGAUCCCUAGCUGGUCUGAGAGGAUGAUCAGCGACACUGGGACUGAGACACGGUCCAGACUCCUACGGAGGCAGCAGUGGGGAAUAUUGCACAAUGGGCGCAAGCCUGAUGCAGCCAUGCCGCGUGUAUGAAGAAGGCCUUAGGGUUGUAAAGUACUUUCAGUCGGGAGGCGUUACCGGCAGAAGAAGCACCGGCUAACUCCGUGCCAGCAGCCGCGGUAAUAC